rnacentral:misc_RNA from 1 species
AGGCUCUUGCAUNGAUGAAGGACGCAGCGAAAUGCGAUAAGUAAUGUGAAUUGCAGAAUCUCAGUGAAUCAUCGAAUCUUUGAACGCACCUUGCGCCCUCUGGUAUUCCGGAGGGCAUGCCUGUCCGAGUGUCAUGAAACCUCAACCGUCCCGUUUAAUUACGGACCGGUUGGACAUGGGCGCUGCUGGUCUCCAGCUCGCCCCAAAUGACUCAGCUGUACGUAGGCGUCGUAACGGAUGUGAUGAGUGCUCAUCCCGGUGACGCCGAUCGUGAGCUAUACCGCCGCGAGGCAUUGACAUCUCUAUCGACCUCGGAUCAGGUAGGACUACCCGCUGA